UACGGGGGGAGCAAGCGUUGUUCGGAUUUACUGGGCGUAAAGGGCGCGUAGGCGGUCGUGACAAGUCACUUGUGAGAUCUCCGGGCUUAACUCGGAACGGUCAAGUGAUACUGUCGGACUAGAGUGCAGAAGGGGCAACUGGAAUUCUCGGUGUAGCGGUGAAAUGCGUAGAUAUCGAGAGGAACACCUGCGGCGAAGGCGGGUUGCUGGGCUGACACUGACGCUGAGGCGCGAAAGCCAGGGGAGCGAACGGG
rnacentral:rRNA from 1 species